CAGCAGCCACGGUAAUACGAAGAGGGCUAGCGUUGCUCGGAAUUACUGGGCGUAAAGGGAGCGUAGGCGGACAUUUAAGUCAGGGGUGAAAUCCCGGGGCUCAACCUCGGAAUUGCCUUUGAUACUGGGUGUCUUGAGUAUGAGAGAGGUAUGUGGAACUCCGAGUGUAGAGGUGAAAUUCGUAGAUAUUCGGAAGAACACCAGUGGCGAAGGCGACAUACUGGCUCAUUACUGACGCUGAGGCUCGAAAGCGUGGGGAGCAAACAGGAUUAGAUACCCCAGUAGUACCUGUCUCUUAUAC
rnacentral:rRNA from 1 species